UCCAGCCUCCUCAACUCCGAGUUCUGCUUCAUCCUCAAGGUUCCCUUUGAGAGUGAGGACAACCAGGGCAUCGUGUAUGCCUGGGUGGGCCGGGCAUCAGACCCUGACGAAGCCAAGUUGGCAGAAGACAUCCUGAACACCAUGUUUGACACCUCCUACAGCAAGCAGGUCAGGAGGCGGGCGGGCAGGCGGGCACACACAGAGGAGCCAGGGCAGGCAGGGGCCCUGGGCUGGACUGGCCUUUCCCGCAGGUUAUCAACGAAGGUGAGGAGCCUGAGAACUUCUUCUGGGUGGGCAUUGGGGCACAGAAGCCCUAUGAUGACGAUGCCGAGUACAUGAAACACACACGUCUCUUCCGGUGAGGCCAGGGCCCUGACCCUCCCCUCAGUCCUGGCACUGCUGCUUAUGACCUCUGGCCUCACCUUGACCCUUGAUUCCCAGGUGCUCCAACGAGAAGGGCUACUUUGCAGUGACUGAGAAAUGCUCCGACUUUUGCCAAGAUGACCUGGCAGAUGAUGACAUCAUGUUGCUAGACAAUGGCCAAGAGGUCUACAUGUGGGUGGGGACCCAGACUAGCCAGGUGGAGAUCAAGCUGAGCCUGAAGGCCUGCCAGGUAUAUAUCCAGCACAUGCGGUCCAAGGAACAUGAGCGGCCGC
rnacentral:lncRNA from 1 species